CAUCUCAUAUCAUUACAAGAAGAGGGGUAAGCACAAUAUAGUAAGAUAUUUGAGAGCGACACUACAUUCACAUAACUUUUAUUACAGUUUAUUUUAUAAUUGUUUU